rnacentral:rRNA from 1 species
GACGAACGCUGGCGGCGUGCUUAACACAUGCAAGUCGAGCGGUAAGGCCCUUUCGGGGGUACGACGAGCGGCGAACGGGUGAGUAACACGUGGGUGACCUGCCCUCAGCUCUGGGAUAAGCCCGGGAAACUGGGUCUAAUACUGGAUAUGACUCCACGGUGCAUGCCGUGGGGUGGAAAGCCUUGUGCGGCUGAGGAUGGGCCCGCGGCCUAUCAGCUUGUUGGUGGGGUGAGGCCUACCAAGGCGACGACGGGUAGCCGGCCUGAGAGGGCGACCGGCCACACUGGGACUGAGACACGGCCCAGACUCCUACGGGAGGCAGCAGUGGGGAAUCUUGCGCAAUGGGCGAAAGCCUGACGCAGCGACGCCGCGUGAGGGAUGACGGCC